GGGAUUACAGACAUGAGCCACUGCACCCAGCCAAGAAUAGAAUCUAAAGCUAUAACUGAUAAUCUCACAGAGGAGAGAAAGGACAAAGGCUGGCAAAUACCAGAAGUGAUAAUACAGGUCUAGAGGAGAAAGCAUGUUCUAAGAAAUUCAUCCAAAGAGAGAAUGAAGACUAUCUUGGAUUUGAGGAAACAGCCUUUCAGUUUCUCAGUAUCGGUGACAAAGAUCACACAUAUGCAAUAAAGAAGACAGAUGUUCUGUCCUUGGCAUGGAGAACAGCAAGGUCUACCCCUCCUCAUACCUUGUUCUGUAGGUGUCUUAGGUGGGAGAAGCAAGACAAAGUCUUAACUUUUCCUCUGAAUGUAAAGGAUCCAGAGAAGACUGCAUGCCCCCACAAUCCAAAACAGAUUUCCUGCAGCUUCUUCUUGAGGGAGUGAAAGCUGCUUAGAGCAGCGUGUAAAUUCAUGGCAAGAAGCAAUAAAGAUGGGCACUUCCGAAUCUCAGCCAUUCAAGCAACUGCAUCAGGGCCCUCUCUGCAGCAAAACUGCUACAUUUCCAAGACAGCUGUCUAAGCCUAUAGAGCCUGACCCUGGUGAAUGAAAUUAGCACCCCGUUUCUCCUAAAGCUCAGAAACAGAUAAGACUGUUUUAAUCAACAAGUUUAGUUCAGGGGAGAGUUUUACUUUCUCAAUAUACAAAAUAAAAAAGAGAGGAGAGAACAAGACAAAUGGCAAUUAGUCAUUGACAAUGGAAGAUAUGAUGUCUAUGAUGGCCUAGUACAGGGAUAAGAUUGUUUUGUCCUGGAGGUGUCAUUCCUAUCUAUUGAAAAAGUCUGAGAGAUGAGUUGUAUCACAACAAAUUGAAGUUGAGAGAAAACUCAAUUACACUCUGGCAUUCGUUUCUGCCAUCCAUAGGUUAACAAAAUUCCAAAGUUAUAAUUUCACUUACAUUCUAUAAUAUACCAUUCCAGCUAAAUUUUCAUCUCUUCUCUUUCUCCUGCCUUUCUAAAAGAAUAGUUAGCAUUUCAUUUCAGACUUGCAAAAGCUCUGAGAUUCUUUCCUAUCUUUUCCUUCCCAGAGCUCUCUGUAAGUAAAUCAAACCUGUCUUCACUAUACCAUACCCUGCAUUUAGCAGACAAACUCUCGGAGUGUACAAGGGGUGUAAGCUUAACAGACUUGUUCAUCCUUAUGUGGGCAGAAAGGCACUUAUAAAGUAUACUGUUUGAUGAUGACAUCCAAGAUCGAGUUUCAACAGUUUUUCAUGGUCUGCAAAAUGCUGCAGUGCUAAUAAAAUUCUAACCUAGUUUAGAUUAC